rnacentral:rRNA from 1 species
GUGCCAGCAGCCGCGGUAAUACGUAGGGUGCGAGCGUUGUCCGGAAUUAUUGGGCGUAAAGAGCUUGUAGGCGGUUUGUCGCGUCUGCCGUGAAAACCUAGGGCUUAACUCUGGGCGUGCGGUGGGUACGGGCAGGCUAGAGUGUGGUAGGGGAGACUGGAAUUCCUGGUGUAGCGGUGAAAUGCGCAGAUAUCAGGAGGAACACCGAUGGCGAAGGCAGGUCUCUGGGCCAUAACUGACGCUGAGAAGCGAAAGCAUGGGGAGCGAACAGGAUUAGAUACCCUGGUAGUCC